GGGUCCCUAGCUCAUCUGGGAGAGCGCUGGCCUUGCAAGCCGGAGGUGACGGGUUCGAGUCCCGUGGGAUCCA
rnacentral:tRNA from 2 species